CUUCACUUAAUGAGAACCUAUCAUGUCAAAUGUUUGUUGGACAGAAUAUAGCCACAGAGGCAGACAGUCCCUGCUCCUGGGAAAGUCAAGCCCUUGGGAAGAAGACACACAACACACUAAAACUUGCAUGGCUGAGCAUCCAUCGCAAUUACGAUGUGUUCUACAAAAAGAGGAAAGCUGGCUGAAUGCAAGAGGGCCCAGAUGUUUGCUCUUAAAGGAUGGUAAGAUACACGAAGUCUGUAACCAUUCACCCCAGGAGAAAACAACAAUAUUGCACAUAUUUCUGUCGCCAUAAAGUUUAC
rnacentral:lncRNA from 1 species